UUGAACGCUGGCGGAAUGCUUUACACAUGCAAGUCGAGCGCCGUAGCAAUACGGAGCGGCAGACGGGAGAGUAACACGUGGGAACGUACCCUUCAGUACGGAACAACCAAGGGAAACUUUGGCUAAUACCGUAUACGUCCGUAAGGAGAAAGAUUUAUCGCUGAAGGAUCGGCCCGCGUCUGAUUAGCUAGUUGGUGAGGUAACGGCUCACCAAGGCGACGAUCAGUAGCUGGCCUGAGAGGAUGAUCAGCCUCACUGGGACUGAGACACGGCCCAGACUCCUACGGGAGGCAGCAGUGGGGAAUAUUGGACAAUGGGCGCAAGCCUGAUCCAGCCAUGCCGCGUGGGUGAUGAAGGCCCUAGGGUUGUAAAGCCCUUUCGGCGGGGAAGAUAAUGACGGUACCCGCAGAAGAAGCCCCGGCUAACUUCGU
rnacentral:rRNA from 1 species